CCUACGGGUGGCAGCAGUGGGGAAUAUUGCACAAUGGGCGCAAGCCUGAUGCAGCCAUGCCGCGUGUGUGAAGAAGGCCUUCGGGUUGUAAAGCACUUUCAGCGGGGAGGAAGGCGUUAAGGUUAAUAACCUUGGCGAUUGACGUUACCCGCAGAAGAAGCACCGGCUAACUCCGUGCCAGCAGCCGCGGUAAUACGGAGGGUGCAAGCGUUAAUCGGAAUUACUGGGCGUAAAGCGCACGCAGGCGGUCUGUCAAGUCGGAUGUGAAAUCCCCGGGCUCAACCUGGGAACUGCAUUCGAAACUGGCAGGCUAGAGUCUUGUAGAGGGGGGUAGAAUUCCAGGUGUAGCGGUGAAAUGCGUAGAGAUCUGGAGGAAUACCGGUGGCGAAGGCGGCCCACUGGACAAAGACUGACGCUCAGGUGCGAAAGCGUGGGGAGCAAACAGGAUUAGAUACCCGAGUAGUC
rnacentral:rRNA from 1 species